AAGUCAUAACAAGGUUUCCGUAGGUGAACCUGCGGAAGGAUCAUUCGAGAACAAGGUCGCAAGACCUUUGUAAUCCACACACACACUGUGAACCGUGACCGAGAGGGGGCGCCUGGACCGCGACCGCGGGCGAGGGCACAACUUCGAGGUCGAUUUUACACCACAUCCCACAGUUUUGUAAGAAAGGUUGGACACAUGUAACAUAUAUAACUUUUAACAACGGAUCUCUUGGCUCUC
rnacentral:misc_RNA from 1 species